UCUUCCGCAAUGGACGAAAGUCUGACGGAGCAACGCCGCGUGAGUGAUGAAGGCUUUCGGGUCGUAAAACUCUGUUGUUAGGGAAGAACAAGUGCUAGUUGAAUAAGCUGGCACCUUGACGGUACCUAACCAGAAAGCCACGGCUAACUACGUGCCAGCAGCCGCGGUAAUACGUAGGUGGCAAGCGUUAUCCGGAAUUAUUGGGCGUAAAGCGCGAGCAGGUGGUUUCUUAAGUCUGAUGUGAAAGGCAACGGCUCAACCGUGGAGGGUGAUUGGAAACUGGGAGCCUUGAGUGCAGAAGAGGAAAGUGGAAUUCGAUGUGUAGCGGUGAAAUGCGUAGAGAUAUGGAGGAACACCAGUGGCGAAGGCGAAUUUCUGGUCUGUAACUGACACUGAGGCGCGAGAGCGUGGGGAGCAAACAGG
rnacentral:rRNA from 1 species